rnacentral:rRNA from 1 species
AACGAACGCUGGCGGCAGGCUUAACACAUGCAAGUCGAGCGCCCCGCAAGGGGAGCGGCAGACGGGUGAGUAACGCGUGGGAAUCUACCGUGCCCUACGGAAUAACGCAUGGAAACGUGUGCUAAUACCGUAUACGCCCUACGGGGGAAAGAUUUAUCGGGGUAUGAUGAGCCCGCGUUGGAUUAGCUAGUUGGUGGGGUAAAGGCCUACCAAGGCGACGAUCCAUAGCUGGUCUGAGAGGAUGAUCAGCCACAUUGGGACUGAGACACGGCCCAAACUCCUACGGGAGGCAGCAGUGGGGAAUAUUGGACAAUGGGCGCAAGCCUGAUCCAGCCAUGCCGCGUGAGUGAUGAAGGUCUUAGGAUUGUAAAGCUCUUUCACCGGUGAAGAUAAUGACGGUAACCGGAGAAGAAGCCCCGGCUAACUUCGUGCCAGCAGCCGCCGUAA